AUCUUGCACAAUUGGCGAAAGCCUGAUGGAGCAACGGCGCGCGAGUGAAGAAGGUUUUCGGAUCGUAAAACUCUGUUGUAAGGGAAGAACAAUUGCCGGAGUAACUGGCGGCACCUUGACGGUACCUUAUUAGAAAGCCACGGCUAACUACGUGCCAGCAGCCGCGGUAAUACGUAGGUGGCAAGCGGUGUCCGGAAUUAUUGGGCGUAAAUCGGGCGCAGGCUGUCUUUUAAGUCUGAUGUGAAAGUCCCCGGCUCAACCGGGGGAGGUCAUUGGAAACUGGGAGACUUGAGUGCAGAAGAGAAGAGUGGAAUUCCACGUGUAGCGGUGAAAUGCGUAGAGAUGUGGAGGAACACCAGUGGCGAAGGCGACUCUUUGGUCUGUAACUGACGCUGAGGCGCGAAAGCGUGGGGAGCAAACA
rnacentral:rRNA from 1 species